UACAGAGGGUGCAAGCGUUAAUCGGAAUGACUGGGCGUAAAGGGCGCGUAGGCGGUUAAAAAAGUAAGAGGUGAAAUACCCGAGCUCAACUUGGGUACGGCCUCUUAAACUAAUUGACUAGAGUACAGUAGAGGGGAGUGGAAUUUCCGGAGUAGCGGUAAAAUGCGUAGAGAUCGGAAGGAACACCAGUGGCGAAAGCGGCUCCCUGGGCUGAUACUGACGCUGAGGCGCGAAGGCGUGGGGAGCAAACAGG
rnacentral:rRNA from 1 species